rnacentral:rRNA from 1 species
GGCGGACGGGUGAGUAAUGCAUAGGAAUCUGCCCGAUAGUGGGGGAUAACCUGGGGAAACCUAGGCUAAUACCGCAUACGUCCUACGGGAGAAAGGGGGCUUCGGCUCCCGCUAUCGGAUGAGCCUAUGUCGGAUUAGCUGGUUGGUGAGGUAAAGGCUCACCAAGGCGACGAUCCGUAGCUGGUCUGAGAGGAUGAUCAGCCACAUCGGGACUGAGACACGGCCCGAACUCCUACGGGAGGCAGCAGUGGGGAAUAUUGGACAAUGGGGGGAACCCUGAUCCAGCCAUGCCGCGUGUGUGAAGAAGGCCCUCGGGUUGUAAAGCACUUUCAGUGAGGAAGAACGCCUGGUGGUUAAUACCCAUCAGGAAAGACAUCACUCACAGAAGAAGCACCGGCUAACUCCGUGCCAGCAGCCGCGGUAAUACGGAGGGUGCGAGCGUUAAUCGGAAUUACUGGGCGUAAAGCGCGCGUAGGUGGCUUGAUAAGCCGGUUGUGAAAGCCCCGGGCUCAACCUGGGAACGGCAUCCGGAACUGUCAAGCUAGAGUGCAGGAGAGGAAGGUAGAAUUCCCGGUGUAGCGGUGAAAUGCGUAGAGAUCGGGAGGAAUACCAGUGGCGNANGCGGCCUUCUGGACUGACACUGACACUGAGGUGCGAAAGCGUGGGUAGCAAACAGGAUUAGAUACCCUGGUAGUCCACGCCGUAAACGAUGUCGACCAGCCGUUNGGGUGCCUAGCGCACUUUGUGGNCGAAGUUAACGCGAUAAGUCGACCGCCUGGGGAGUANCGGCCGCAAGGUUAAAANCUCAAAUGAAUUGACGGGGGCCCGNCACAAGCNGGUGGAGCAUGUGGUUUAANUUCGAUGCAACGCGAAGAACCUUACCUACUCUUGACAUCCUGCGAACUUGUGAGAGAUCACUUGGUGCCUUCGGGAACGCAGAGACAGGUGCUGCAUGGCUGUCGUCAGCUCGUGUUGUGAAAUGUUGGGUUAAGUCCCGUAACGAGCGCAACCCUUGUCCUUAUUUGCCAGCGCGUAAUGGCGGGAACUCUAAGGAGACUGCCGGUGACAAACCGGAGGAAGGUGGGGACGACGUCAAGUCAUCAUGGCCCUUACGAGUAGGGCUACACACGUGCUACAAUGGUCGGUACAAAGGGUUGCCA